rnacentral:rRNA from 1 species
CAUACAAGCUUAUUAAGGGCGUAUGGGGAAUGCCUAGGCUCUCAGAGGCGAAGAAGGACGUGAUAAGCUGCGAAAAGCUGCGGGGAUUGGCACAUACAAAUUGAUCCGCAGAUAUCCGAAUGGGGCAACCCACUAUAUUGAAGAUAUAGUAUCCUUUAAGGAGGCGAACCCGGAGAACUGAAACAUCUAAGUACCCGGAGGAAGAGAAAACAAAAGUGAUUACGCUAGUAGCGGCGAGCGAACGCGUAUUAGCCCAAACCAUAUAGUUUACGGACUAUAUGGGGUUGUAGGACCACGAUAUUCGAUGCAGAUAGAAUUAGAACCCUUUGGAAAGAGGGACCAUAGAGGGUGAUAGUCCCGUAUAGGUAAUAAAUGUUAUUGAUAGUGGUAUCCUGAGUAGUGCGGGGCACGUGAAACCCUGUAUGAAUCCGGCGGGACCAUCCGCCAAGGCUAAAUACUCCUGAGAGACCGAUAGUGAACCAGUACCGUGAGGGAAAGGUGAAAAGAACCCUGAACAAGGGAGUGAAAUAGAUCCUGAAACCAUACGCUUACAAGCGGUCGGAGCCCUUUGGGGUGACGGCGUGCCUUUUGCAUAAUGAGCCUACGAGUUACCGUUACCAGCAAGGUUAAGCACUUCAGGUGUGGAGCCGUAGCGAAAGCGAGUCUGAAUAGGGCGCAUUAGUUGGUCAUGGUAGACGCGAAACCGUGUGAUCUACCCUUGGGCAGGUUGAAGCUUUGUUAACCCAAAGUGGAGGACCGAACCCGUUGACGUUGAAAAGUCUUGGGAUGACCUGAGGGUAGGGGUGAAAGGCCAAUCAAACUCGGAAAUAGCUCGUACUCCCCGAAAUGCAUUUAGGUGCAGCGGUAUAAUAGUUUUAUAGAGGUAGAGCUACUGAUUGGAUGCGGGGGCUUCACCGCCUACCAAUUCCUGACAAACUCCGAAUGCUAUAAAAUGCUUUAUAUCAGUGAGGGCAUGGGUGCUAAGGUCCGUGUCCGAGAGGGAAAGAACCCAGACCAUCAGCUAAGGUCCCCAAAUAUAUGUUAAGUUGAAAAAACGCGGUUGAACUGCUUAGACAGCUAGGAUGUUGGCUUGGAAGCAGCCAUUCAUUUAAAGAGUGCGUAACAGCUCACUAGUCGAGCGGUUCGGCAUGGAUAAUAAUCGGGCAUAAACAUAUUACCGAAGCUAUGGAUUUACAACGAGAGUUGUGAGUGGUAGGGGAGCAUUGUAACAACGUAGAAGGUGUAUUGCGAGGUACAUUGGAGUGGUUACAAAAGAAAAUGUAGGCAUAAGUAACGAUAAUGCGGGCGAGAAACCCGCACACCGAAAGACCAAGGUUUCCUCAGCUAUGCUAAUCAGCUGAGGGUUAGUCGGGUCCUAAGGCGAACCCGAAAGGGGUAGUCGAUGGCCAAGCAGUUAAUAUUCUGCUACUUGCCCCACGUUAAAGCGGACGGAGGCGAAAAGUUGGUGCGUACUGACGGAAUAGUACGUUGAAGGGAGUGGUAACACCCCGAUAGUACACAAAAGCUACGGCCGGCGUGAUAAUCCAGCGGAUCGACUUCCAAGAAAAGCGAGUGGAGGCAACCCGUACCGUAAACCGACACAGGUAGUUGGGAUGAGAAUUCUAAGGUGCUCGAGAGAUUCAUGGCUAAGGAACUAGGCAAAAUAGGCCCGUAACUUCGGGAGAAGGGUCGCCCACAGCAAUGUGGGCCGCAGUGAAAAGGUCCAGGCGACUGUUUAUCAAAAACACAGGACUCUGCUAAAUCGAAAGAUGAUGUAUAGGGUCUGACACCUGCCCGGUGCCGGAAGGUUAAGAGGAGAUGUUAGCUAUUGCGAAGCAUUGAAUUGAAGCCCCGGUAAACGGCGGCCGUAACUAUAACGGUCCUAAGGUAGCGAAAUUCCUUGUCGGGUAAGUUCCGACCUGCACGAAUGGUGCAACGAUCUGGACACUGUCUCAGCCAUGAGCUCGGUGAAAUUGUAGUAUCGGUGAAGAUGCCGAUUACCCGCUACGGGACGAAAAGACCCCGUGCACCUUUACUAUAGCUUAGUAUUGACUUUGGACAAGUGAUGUGUAGGAUAGGUGGGAGACAUUGAAGCAGCGUCGCCAGGCGUUGUGGAGUCAUUGUUGAAAUACCACCCUUUACUUGUUUGAAGCCUAACUUCGAUAAGAAGGACAGUGCUUGGUGGGUAGUUUGACUGGGGUGGUCGCCUCCAAAAGAGUAACGGAGGCUUCUAAAGGUUCCCUCAGCACGCUUGGUAACCGUGCGUAGAGUGCAAUGGCAUAAGGGAGCUUGACUGAGAGACCUACAAGUCGAUCAGGUACGAAAGUAGAGCAUAGUGAUCCGGUGGCGCCGCAUGGAAGGGCCAUCGCUCAAAGGAUAAAAGGUACGCCGGGGAUAACAGGCUGAUCUCCCCCAAGAGCUCACAUCGACGGGGGGGUUUGGCACCUCGAUGUCGGCUCGUCACAUCCUGGGGCUGGAGAAGGUCCCAAGGGUUGGGCUGUUCGCCCAUUAAAGUGGCACGCGAGCUGGGUUCAGAACGUCGUGAGACAGUUCGGUCUCUAUCUGUAGUGGGCGUUAGAAAUUUGAGUGGACCUGACUCUAGUACGAGAGGACCGAGUUGGACCAACCUCUGGUGUAUCUGUUGUUCCGCCAGGAGCACUGCAGAGUAGCUACGUUGGGAAGGGAUAAGCGCUGAAAGCAUAUAAGCGCGAAACCCACCACAAGAUGAGAUUUCUUUAAAGGACCGUGGGAGACGACCACGUUGAUAGGCUACAGGUGUAAAGGCAGUAAUGUCAUAGCCGAGUAGUACUAAUAAUCCGUAUAGCUUGAUGCA